rnacentral:rRNA from 1 species
AGNCGAACGGAUCCAGAGCUUGCUCAGGGAAAGUGGCGCACGGGUGAGUAACGCGUGGAUACCUGCCCUGGUAUCUGGGAUAACAUCUCGAAAGGGGUGCUAAUACCGGAUAAGGUCCUCGGACAAAAGGUGGCCUCUAUUUAUGCUACCGUAUCAGGAUGGGUCCGCGUACCAUUAGCUAGUUGGUGGGGUAAUGGCCCACCAAGGCGACGAUGGUUAGCUGGUCUGAGAGGAUGAUCAGCCACACUGGAACUGAGACACGGUCCAGACUCCUACGGGAGGCAGCAGUGGGGAAUUUUGCGCAAUGGGGGAAACCCUGACGCAGCAACGCCGCGUGAGUGAUGAAGGCUUUCGGGUCGUAAAGCUCUGUCAGAGGGGAAGAAUGAGCUUGGCUAAUAUCCAGGUUUCUUGACGGUACCCUCAAAGGAAGCACCGGCUAACUCCGUGCCAGCAGCCGCGGUAAUACGGAGGGUGCAAGCGUUGUUCGGAUUUAUUGGGCGUAAAGCGCGUGUAGGCGGUUUCUUAAGUCUGAUGUGAAAGCCCUGGGCUCAACCCAGGAAGUGCAUUGGAUACUGGGAGACUUGAAUACGGGAGAGGGUAGUG